CUUAAGCAUAUCAAUAAGCGGAGGAAAAGAAACCAACAGGGAUUGCCCUAGUAACGGCGAGUGAAGCGGCAACAGCUCAAAUUUGAAAUCUGGCGCAAGCCCGAGUUGUAAUUUGUAGAGGAUGCUUCUAGGUAGCGACCGGUCUAAGUUCCUUGGAACAGGACGUCAUAGAGGGUGAGAAUCCCGUAUGUGACCGGCCCGCACCUUCUACGUAGCUCCUUCGACGAGUCGAGUUGUUUGGGAAUGCAGCUCUAAAUGGGAGGUAAAUUUCUUCUAAAGCUAAAUACCGGCCAGAGACCGAUAGCGCACAAGUAGAGUGAUCGAAAGAUGAAAAGCACUUUGGAAAGAGAGUUAAAAAGCACGUGAAAUUGUUGAAAGGGAAGCGCUCACAACCAGACUUCUGGGCGGUGUUCCGCCGGUCUUCUGACCGGUCUACUCACCGUCCCGAGGCCAACAUCAUCUGGGACCGCUGGAUAAGACCUCAGGAAUGUAGCUUCCCUCGGGAAGUGUUAUAGCCUGUGGUGAUGCAGCGCGUCUCGGGUGAGGUCCGCGCUUCGGCAAGGAUGUUGGCGUAAUGGUUGUCAGCGGCCCGUCUUGAAACACGGACCAAGGAGUCUAACAUCUAUGCGAGUGUUCGGGUGUCAAACCCCUACGCGUAAUGAAAGUGAACGGAGGUGGGAAGCGUAAGCUGCACCAUCGACCGAUCCUGAUGUCCUCGGAUGGAUUUGAGUAAGAGCAUAGCUGUUGGGACCCGAAAGAUGGUGAACUAUGCCUGAAUAGGGUGAAGCCAGAGGAAACUCUGGUGGAGGCUCGCAGCGGUUCUGACGUGCAAAUCGAUCGUCAAAUUUGGGUAUAGGGGCGAAAGACUAAUC
rnacentral:rRNA from 1 species